rnacentral:rRNA from 1 species
UCCUUAGGCGGGCUAAUAAGUCAGGGGUGAAAUCCCACAGCUUAACUGUGGAACUGCCUUUGAUACUGUUAGUCUUGAGUUAUAUGGAAGUAGAUAGAAUGUGUAGUGUAGCGGUGAAAUGCAUAGAUAUUACACAGAAUACCGAUUGCGAAGGCAGUCUACUACGUAUAUACUGACGCUAAUGGACGAAAGCGUGGGGAGCGAACAGGAUUAGAUACCCUGGUAGUCC